CUCGCCUUCUGCCAGCGGUCUGGAGGUUCUCAAUUCUGGCAAUCCAUCUUCCAGCUCCUGCCGAUCCUCCGCAUCGGCACCUCGAUUGCGGUGGGCUCGGGCACCUCCACGAUGUUCUGGUUCGAUAGAUGGGCUGGGGAUGCUCCCCUCGCAGCCCGGUUUCCCGACCUAUUCUCCAUCGCGGUUGAUCCGCGGAUCUCUGUUUCGGAGAACGUUUUGGAAGAACACGGACUCGCGUUUCGGAGAACGUUUGGCCCGGUUGAGAACGCGGACUGGAAUGAGCUGCUGGAAUGCAUAGCGUUGCAUGAGCCUGUUCUUGAGAUGGGAGAAGACCGUACCAGGUGGCGUCUAGAGCCAUCGGGGCAAUUCUCUACUAAAUCUCUAUACCAGGCCAUAGCACCCUCGUUGGGGCAUGAGGCACUCACUUCCAUUUGGGAACUCCGGCUCCCAUUGAAGAUUAGGAUCUUCUUAUGGCAAUGGAUUCGCGGUCGCCUCCCCUCUGGCGUGGAGGUCCUGAAGCGCAAUGGACCAGGGGAUGGGCGCUGCCCGCUUUGCGGGCCGGAGGAGGAUUCGAACCAUAUCUUCUUCACCUGCGUGUCCGCGCAGUUCCUUUGGAGCUGUUUCCGCGAUAUAGUGGGUGGAAGCCGGGACCACAACAACUUCCCCGCUCUUUUCGCAGAACUCCAGGCUUUAGCUCCCUCAAUUCGCCACAUUAGGUGGUUGACCAUUGGGGUACUAGCCUGGACGCUGUGGACUAUUAGGAAUAAGCUUGUGAUUCAGCGCAUUCCUCUUCGUCGUGCUACUGACGCUUUGUUCAAAUGGUCUGGUUACUUGCAGAUUUGGUGGCCGCAUAGCCGUCCCCGGGAGAGAGACGCCAUCACCUCCAUCAUCACCCAGCUUCGCUCGAUGGCACUCCGGAUGGCUCCUCCGCUUCCCCACCACCGCCGGAGCCGGAUUAGAUCGUCUACGCCUUGCCACCGCCUUGUUGUGUUGUGUGUGUCUUACUUUGAUGUUGGGCUUGUUGUGCUGUGCCCAUAG
rnacentral:rRNA from 1 species